rnacentral:miRNA from 1 species
AGGUGGGAGGAUGGCUUCAGCCUGGGAGGUGGAGGUUGCAGUGAGCCGAGAUUAUGCCACUGCACACCAGCCUGGGCAACAGAGCCAGACCUUGUCUC